rnacentral:rRNA from 1 species
AGUGAACGCUGGCGGUAGGCCUAACACAUGCAAGUCGAACGGCAGCACAGUAAGAGCUUGCUCUUACGGGUGGCGAGUGGCGGACGGGUGAGGAAUACAUCGGAAUCUACUUUUUCGUGGGGGAUAACGUAGGGAAACUUACGCUAAUACCGCAUACGACCUACGGGUGAAAGCAGGGGAUCUUCGGACCUUGCGCGAUUGAAUGAGCCGAUGUCGGAUUAGCUAGUUGGCGGGGUAAAGGCCCACCAAGGCGACGAUCCGUAGCUGGUCUGAGAGGAUGAGCAGCGCCACUGGAACUGAGACACGGUCCAGAGUCCUACGGGAGGCAGCAGUGUGGAAUAUUUGGCACUAGGCGCAAGCCUGAUCCAGCCAUACCGCGUGGGUGAAGAAGGCCUUCGGGUUGUAAAGCCCUUUUGUUGGGAAAGAAAAGCAGCAGGUUAAUACCCCGCUGUUCUGACGGUACCCAAAGAAUAAGCACCGGCUAACUUCGUG